GUGUGGGUUCCUGAGUCUCUCUCACACAUGCAGGAAGCUUGGCUUAGCAUGCUCCUUGGGUACCUCAUCCUUGCUGCCUUCCUGAGGAAACCGCUGGGAACAAUGGGACAGACUCAGCAAGAAGGACAAGUCACAGUAAAGGAGAGAGACACUUUCCAGACCACCUGCACUUACCAGAGUGCCAGCUUUGAUGCCUUGCUUUGGUACCAGCAAAGGAAAGACCAAGCCCCGCAGCUCAUCUCAUAUCAGGCAGUUGCUGGCCCCAGGCAGAGCGGCCGUUUCACCACUCUGCUGAACACCACAAGCAAAUACAGCCUCCUGAAGCUGCAGGAGGUCGAGCUCUCUGACAGUGCCUUGUACCUCUGUGCUGGGCAAGACACCGUGGUGCAGGGAGAUGCCUCAGCUGUGCAAUAACACAGGGAGGGAGGG